GGUAGAGCUGAGUGGCUCGCAGGCAGAGUACAGGAUCGUAACACGGAAAUGAUAACCAUUGUGUUUGAUAGUACCAAUCGUCUUCACACUCAGGACUCCGCUCUACGCUAUACUGGCGAAAAAAUUGCUCGUGUGGAGGUUCUCAGUGCCACUGAGAGUCUUUGGUUACAUGAAUGGUUUCAGGCGGACUUUCACAACCAGUUAAGGAGAAUGAGGGGCAGCCAUCGACGCAAUUCUGCUAAUGGUUGCUGUAACACUGGUGGCGUCGCAUCAGUGCGGUAUGCAACGUAGUCCCGUCUGCAGUGGACUAGUUCACUACACGCUGUAACACAAUGCAGCGUUUCCUCCAGGAGACACCAUGCCGGAGUGAGCAACAGUCCUUCAACGCCGUGCAUUCUACCGGUAGAGUCCUCGCGACGGACAUCGGUAGAAUGUGCAGCUACGUCACUGCUGACUCAACGAGCUGCGUCAGCAGCCAAGCAGCCGCUGAUCUACGAGCCGUCAGCCAGUCCUGGUGCAAUCAAGCUUCGAACUGGAUCCGCCAAGGCGAUGCCACACGCUAGUCGCCAUCUCCUUGCACCCCAGCCACUCCCCGAUGCUCCCGGGUUCAGGCGGGGCGCCAGCCGUUCCUGCCAGCCUCCAGCGGCCAUGUGGAGUUCGCACUAGCCCAGCCACCAACUGAGCUGCUAAGUGAAACAUGGUAUCCGUCACCAGGGGCGCCGUCGACCCAGCCGCUAUAACGCUGUCAAGAGCAUUCCUCUGACUCAGCGUACGUCACUCGCUGCCCGCUAGCUACAGUCGGAGUAAACACUUCCGACUCCAAGCUCGCCACGGUACUGCAGAUCCCAUCACACAGCUUCCCGCACAAGCCACUCUGCAGCCGAAAGUGGCCAUUCUGUAACACUGCUACUUCGCAUGUUCUCUAACAGUUGAAACGUCCUCUUUGAACAAUUAUACACGAAUGUGCUUAAACUGACACACAAUAUUUUUUGCGCAGCGCAAUCUGACUUUCAAAAAUCCCUACAAAAGAAUGGCCCUGACUAACAUUAACCUAUACGUUUCACAUAUCACUUACCUUACAAAAAUCUUGGUUACUCGAACUACUGCAAUACAGCGAGCACCACUACUGCUAGCUAAAUAAAAGAUUCAAACUACGGAAGGCACUAACUACUGAUAGGUAUAGUUAGCAAAUGAAAGAUUUUAAUAGAGAACAAACACUGUAUUUACCUUAAUAGUCAUAAUAUAUAUAGCAGUUCAUGACAUCCAGUCUUACAAAUUUCAAAACUCCGCCAUUUCUCUCCCCACAUCCACCACUGCUGGCGGCUCACCUACAACUGCGCAAAGCUAUGCGCUGUUCACAUCCAGCUGCCCAACACUACAAUAGCGAAUAUUACAACAAUGCCACUCAGCCACAGAAUGCACACAGCACAGCCAGUGAUUUUCAUGCAGAGCGCUAUGUGGCGUUACCAAUAAAAAAACCUAAACAGCCUACUUACACAGUGCAUUCGAAUGUAGAUCCCAGACUUCAACGUAAUCCAAACAAACAAAUAACGUACAUAUUUAUGAUAUGCAAAUGAGAAAUUUGUAAGAAAAAAUGUAAUAUGAUGAAUAUGUUUCGUGAAAUAUUUAACAUAAAAAUUAGUUUUGUUGAAAUAAAAAUCUGAAAUACA